UAUUAAUAGCUGUACCAGGAGAACUGCGUGGUUAUAAAAUGGCUCAUGAUAGGUAUGGGAAACUCCCAUGGAAAGAUCUGUUUGAGCCCAGUAUAAAGCUGGCAUCGGAGGGAUUUAACAUUAGCAAAGGCCUGGCCUAUGCCAUCAAUAUGGAAGAAAGGAAAAUUCGGAAAAAUAUAGCAUUGCGUGAAGUGUUUUGCGACUCAGACAAUAAGCCCUUGAAGGAAAGCAAUUUUACCAGAUUUCCCAAGCUAGCUAAAACCUACCGGACAAUAGCAGAAGAAGGACCAGAUGCAUUUUACGAUGGGUCCCUGACUCAGAGUAUACUGGAUGAAAUCACAGUUGCUGGAGGAAACAUCACACGUGAAGACCUUAAGCGUUAUAAGCCAGAUCUGCAAAAGUAUGCAUUGAACUUUACAGUGGGGAAAUACAUAUUUUUUGCUCCUACUGCUCCAUUCGGUGGACCUGUGCUCGCUCUGAUCAUGAAAAUACUCCUGGGCAACGGUACAGCAGAUUCUUCAGGUUUCAACCUCUCAAACAAAAGUGUGUCCACACCAGAGAAUAUGACUUUGACCUAUCAUCGCAUCAUAGAGGCUUUCCGCUUUGCUAAUGCUCAGAAGGCAAAACUGGCAGACCCACUUCACGAAAAAAACGUCACUGAGUUUGUUAAAUACAUGACCUCAGACAGCUUUGCGGACAACAUCAGGAGUAAGAUUAAAGAUGACAUCAAACAAACCAGCUAUAAUGAGCAGGGCAUUAAAAUUGUACCUGACGACCACGGUACAUCUCAUCUAUCUGUCAUCGCUAAAGAUGGCAGUGCAGUGGCGGUGACCAGCAGCAUUAAUAACUUUUUCGGUUCAGGUGUGAUGUCAUGCUUAAGAGGUAUUAUAUUUAAUGAUCAGAUGUCGGAUUACACUAGUCCUGAAAUGAAAAAUGGACCUAAUGCAAUCAAACCAGGUAAAAGGCCACUUUCAUCAAUGUGUCCCACAAUAAUACUGGACAAAGACAGCAGAAAAGUGAGAAUGGUAGCUGGAGGUGCAGGAGGGACCAACAUCACCACAUCUGUUGCUCAGGUUAUCCUGGACCACCUGUACUUUGACUAUAACCUGCAGAAGGCUGUUGCAGAACCCAGAGUUCAGGUCCCACCCAAUGUGACAAAUGUGGAGGAGGGAUUUGAUUCGACAGUAAUGGGUUGGCUGUCGAGGAAGUAUCAUAAUAUUUCUCAGUAUACUUCAUUAACAAUGGUCCAGGUGGUUGAAAAGGAAGGGAGCCAAGUCUGUGCUGUAUCUGACACCAGGGAUGCUGUAUACUACAGGCCGAGCAGUGCUUCUGUGAAAGGGCUGUCCAGUGACAGCUACAUAAUCAUUUGUUUGGGUGUUUUGUGGAUGCUAUUAAACGGGGCUUAAAAUUAACAUUUACCAUGCACAAAUGCGCCAUGGCAAGGUGGUAAGAUACAACAUGAUUUUUGUAUUAUUACUAAUUCUGACAUUAUAUAAAUCACAUAUUACCUAAUA